AUGGUGGUGUGUAAUAGUGGUAUAUAGAUGGUGGUGUGUAUUAGUGGUAUAUAGAUGGUGGUGUGUAAUAGUGGUAUAUAGAUGUUAGGUGGUGGUGUGUAAUAGUGGUAUAUAGAUGGUGGUGUGUAAUAGUGGUAUAUAGAUGGUGGUGUGUAAUAGUGGUAUAUAGAUGGUGGUGUGUAAUAGUGGUAUAUAGAUGGUGGUAUGUAAUAGUGGUAUAUAGAUGGUGGUGUGUAAUAGUGGUAUAUAGAUGGUGGUAUGUAAUAGUGGUAUAUAGAUGGUGGUGUGUAAUAGUGGUAUAUAGAUGGUGGUGUGUAAUAGUGGUAUAUAGGUGGUGGUGGUGUGUAAUAGUGGUAUAUAGAUGGUGGUG
rnacentral:lncRNA from 1 species